rnacentral:rRNA from 1 species
GUAGUUCGAUCCGUGGCUCGACGGACGACGCUGGCGGCGUGCUUAACACAUGCAAGUCGAACGGUGAAGCCCAGCUUGCUGGGUGGAUCAGUGGCGAACGGGUGAGUAACACGUGAGCAACCUGCCCUUCACUUCGGGAUAAGCCUUGGAAACGGGGUCUAAUACCGGAUAUGAGCGCUCAUCGCAUGGUGGGUGUUGGAAAGUUUUUCGGUGAGGGAUGGGCUCGCGGCCUAUCAGCUUGUUGGUGGGGUAACGGCCGUACCAAGGCGUCGACGGGUAGCCGGCCUGAGAGGGCGACCGGCCACACUGGGACUGAGACACGGCCCAGACUCUACGGGAGGCAGCAGUGGGGAAUAUUGCACAAUGGGCGAAAGCCUGAUGCAGCGACGCCGCGUGAGGGAUGACGGCCUUCGGGUUGUAAACCUCUUUCAGCAGGGAAGAAGCGCAAGUGACGGUACCUGCAGAAGAAGCGCCGGCUAACUACGUG